GCCGCGGUGGCACAACCUGGUAUCACAAGCUUAUGGCUUGCUAAGGCCUCCCACCCAUCCAGACAGCAUCUUGCUGCUGCAGGUGAAAGGAAGGCUGACAGGAAACUGCGCAGGAUUGCUAAUCCUGUUUCCUUCGGGAUUUCCGGGUUCAAAUCCCGGCCGCGGCG
rnacentral:tRNA from 1 species